GAUGAACGCUGGCGGCGUGCCUAAUACAUGCAAGUCGAGCGAACAGACGAGGAGCUUGCUCCUCUGACGUUAGCGGCGGACGGGUGAGUAACACGUGGAUAACCUACCUAUAAGACUGGGAUAACUUCGGGAAACCGGAGCUAAUACCGGAUAAUAUAUUGAACCGCAUGGUUCAAUAGUGAAAGACGGUUUUGCUGUCACUUAUAGAUGGAUCCGCGCCGCAUUAGCUAGUUGGUAAGGUAACGGCUUACCAAGGCAACGAUGCGUAGCCGACCUGAGAGGGUGAUCCGCCACACUGGAACUUGGACACGGUCCAGACUCCUAAGGGGGGCAGCAGUAGGGAAUCUUCCGCAAUGGGCGGAAGCCUGACGGAGCAACGCCGCGUGAGUUAUGAAGGUCUUCGGAUCGUAAAACUCUGUUAUUAGGGAAGAACAAAUGUGGAAGUAACUAUGCACGUCUUGACGGUACCUAAUCAGAAAGCCACGGCUAACUACGUG
rnacentral:rRNA from 1 species